AUUGAACGCUGGCGGCAGGCCUAACACAUGCAAGUCGAGCGGAGCAGCGGACGGGUGAGUAAUGCCUAGGCAUCUGCCUGGUAGUGGGGGAUAACGUCCGGAAACGGGCGCUAAUACCGCAUACUAUCAGAUGAGCCUAGGUCGGAUUAGCUAGGUGGGGGGGUAAAGGCCUACCAAGGCGACGAUCCGUAACUGGGCUGAGAGGAUGAUCAGUCACACUGGAACUGAGAAACGGCCCAGACUCCUACGGGAGGCAGCAGUGGGGAAUAUUGCACAAUGGGCGAAAGCCUGAUCCAGCCAUGCCGCGUGUGUGAAGAAGGUCUUCGGAUUGUAAAGCACUUUAGGUGAGGAGGCGUUACCAACAGAAUAAGCACCGGCUAACUUCGUGCCAGCAGCCGCGGUAAUAC
rnacentral:rRNA from 1 species